AGUGAACGCUGGCGGUAGGCCUAACACAUGCAAGUCGAACGGCAGCACAGUAAGAGCUUGCUCUUACGGGUGGCGAGUGGCGGACGGGUGAGGAAUACAUCGGAAUCUACUUUUUCGUGGGGGAUAACGUAGGGAAACUUACGCCAAUACCGCAUACGACCUACGGGUGAAAGCAGGGGAUCUUCGGACCCUGCGCGAUUGAAUGAGCCGAUGUCGGAUUAGCUAGUUGGCGGGGUAAAGGCCCACCAAGGCGACGAUCCGUAGCUGGUCUGAGAGGAUGAUCAGCCACACUGGAACUGAGACACGGUCCAGACUCCUACGGGAGGCAGCAGUGGGGAAUAUUGGACAAUGGGCGCAAGCCUGAUCCAGCCAUACCGCGUGGGUGAAGAAGGCCUUCGGGUUGUAAAGCCCUUUUGUUGGGAAAGAAAAGCAGCAGGUUAAUACCCCGCUGUUCUGACGGUACCCAAAGAAUAAGCACCGGCUAACUUCGUG
rnacentral:rRNA from 1 species